ACAGAUGGGCCCGCGGCGCAUUAGCUAGUUGGUGAGGUAACGGCUCACCAAGGCAACGAUGCGUAGCCGACCUGAGAGGGUGAUCGGCCACACUGGGACUGAGACACGGCCCAGACUCCUACGGGAGGCAGCAGUAGGGAAUCUUCCGCAAUGGACGAAAGUCUGACGGAGCAACGCCGCGUGAGUGAUGAAGGUUUUCGGAUCGUAAAACUCUGUUGUUAGGGAAGAACAAGUACCGGAGUAACUGCCGGUACCUUGACGGUACCUAACCAGAAAGCCACGGCUAACUACGUGCCAGCAGCCGCGGUAAUACGUAGGUGGCAAGCGUUGUCCGGAAUUAUUGGGCGUAAAGCGCGCGCAGGCGGUUCCUUAAGUCUGAUGUGAAAGCCCCCGGCUCAACCGGGGAGGGUCAUUGGAAACUGGGGAACUUGAGUGCAGAAGAGAAGAGUGGAAUUCCACGUGUAGCGGUGAAAUGCGUAGAGAUGUGGAGGAACACCAGUGGCGAAGGCGACUCUUUGGUCUGUAACUGACGCUGAGGCG
rnacentral:rRNA from 1 species